rnacentral:lncRNA from 1 species
CUUAAUUGAGAGUGCAGGAACAAAGAAAGCCUGAGAUAAUAAUAUCUGAAUUGACUCCUGAAAGAUUCAUGAGAAUUAGCCAGUGAAAACAUGGGGAAGGUGUCCAGAUGGAGGGAACAAUGUGUGCAAAGACAGUCAUCACAGGAAGACAAAUAACAUGAUCCCGUGUAUCCAAGGUACCUAGAGUGGUCAGCCUCACAGAAACAGUAGAAAUGUGGUUGUCGGGGACUAGAGAGGAGGAUGGGGAGUGUGUAAUGGGUACGGGGUGUUAGUGUUAGAAAAUGAAAAGUCCUGGGGAUCUGGUUUACAACAGUAUCAGUUGAUGUGACACUACUGAGCUGUACACUGAAAGUGGGUAAGAUGGCAAAUUUUACAUUAUGUGUGUUUUACUACAAUCAAGAAAUUUAAAGUUAAAGCCAUGGAGAGCUACAAGUGGCACAGCACAGUGGGAGCGCAGGCUGCGGGGAGGGGGAUGGAGAGGGGGUGCUGGGAGAGGGCCUGUCUAAUGUGACAUGCUCAGGAACCUGGUGCUGUUCUCCCUCUACACAGUGGGGAAUUGUUGAGGAAUCUUCCAGAGGAGUAUUUCUCAUCAAAAUUAACAGUUCCUGCUUACGGGACACAUGGUGGUAUAAAAGGUAAACAGCCUUUCUUAGUCCUGCCCUUUGGAUUUGACCCCUGUCUCCGUCACCUUCUGACCCUCCUUAAUUUCUUCGAGUCUGUUCCUACUCUUUCUUACAUAUAAGGUGGCUUCAGGAUCUAUAGAGUAUAAUGAGCUGAAGUGACAACAGCCUGACUGAAACCUAGCUCUGUCACUUAAUCAGCUGUGAAGAUGUGGUCAGGUAACUUAGCUUCACUGAGACUUAAAUUUCUCUCUGAGAAAAAGGGACAAAUACAACCAUUUUGAGAAGUGAAUUGUAAGAACAAGCUUUAUAAAACACAAGAGCUAUGCUGUAGAAACAUCAGUGGUGUUAUUAUCCUGCUGUCCUGCUGUCUGAGGGACAGUUGGAGAUGCCUUGCUUCACAUACCAUGGAGCCACACUGUCCUCUAGCAAGCCUCAGUUCCCCAGCCCUCUAAGAACCUGCCAUUUAUCUUGGUCUUCUUUGCACUGGGGCAAUAUGUGUUUUCCCAGGAGGAGGAAAGGAAGGUUAGCCAACCCUGCUGGAUGCAAAUGGGAAUGGGAACCAACCAGGGGCAGGAGUGGUUAAUUGGGGAGGAAAGGAAACCAUGAUGCUUUUGUAGUUAAAGGCCCAACUGGGCAAGCUCUUCCAUCACUUGGCAUCUCCAUUUCCUUUCCACUGAGAGUGCCAGAAAUAACAGGGCAGUAGUUGCUUUCACUGCCUUUGUGGACAAGAGAAUGAAACCAUUGCAGGGGGAAUUUCUGCUAACAAACCCCCACCAUUCUGUGGUGUAAAGGAUGAGAAAUGCUACACACAGCAGUGUUUCUCAGAAGACAGCCAGUAAGGGGAGACUACCCCAAAUACUACUUCCAUAGCCUAAGACUUGUCCAGUAUUUAUUACACAAAGACAUCACUGGCCUGUUUAAAAAAGAAAGAAAAAAAAAAAUGUGUCGAGCAAGUGAAAAUCAUCAGAGCUGUUUUCCUGUAGUGACCUAACAGCAACAGGGUUGGAAGCUGGGGCAAUGCUGAUUUGGCGGAGGAAAUGCGGGCACUGACAGCCACCUUGGCAGAUACACUGUGCUAUUCUCAGACUUGCCGAGCCUUCUUGCCGCCUCCCUACAUCUCUCACCUGUCUCUGGUCUGAGAAUGCACUUGAACUCUGCUUUCUUGGAAAUGAAAAGAAGCAUGCAGCUGUAUCCAGAGAACUCCUGUCUGAUGUCUGUUCCACAUGACAAAAUCUGUUUUCUCUCCACAUCUUGACUCUUCAAACCUUACCUACAAGUGCUUCUGUAGAAGUCACUAGCACACUGUUUCUGGGAUGUGGAAGUUUGGGAAGGAAAAAAAUAUCAGUAUCAGGAUCCAAACUUAGAACUAACAUUUCUUUAAGUGACAAUUAUCUACUUGUUUUAACUCAAAAUAGACCUCCUUGUUACCAGAAUUUGUUUAGGAACUGCAAGCUAAUUGUAGUAUUAGGGUGUUGUAAUGAUUAAGAAGGUAAGUCUAUGUCAGAUAUCUAAAUUCCUACUUUGGGGGGCGCCUGGGUGGCGCAGUCGGUUAAGCGUCUGACUUCAGCCAGGUCACGAUCUCGCGGUCCGUGAGUUCGAGCCUCGCGUCGGGCUCUGGGCUGAUGGCUCAGAGCCUGGAGCCUGUUUCCGAUUCUGUGUCUCCCUCUCUCUCUGCCCCUCCCCCGUUCAUGCUCUGUCUCUCUCUGUCCCAAAAAUAAAUAAACGUUGAAAAAAAAAUUAAAAAAAAAUAAAUAAAUUCCUACUUUGGCUUUUUUUUCCCCCCUUCCCCUUAUGUUCCGUAUGACUGUUGCAGCCUAUUAUUAUGAGCAAUGGAGAACUAUAGCUAUAAUUGUACUUUCAGACACUUGCAUUCAUCAAUGAGGGCAAAGGCCAAACAAGAUUAACCCACAAGUCUGUGAUUGCAAAGAAAGGCUCUAGUAUGUCUGCAGAAGCUGUGACUUCUCUGUUCUGGGUUGCCUUGGAUUUGGGCAUCUUCAAGCUCAGGUGAUUGGCCCUUUUGCCUGUGCACUGUUGUUGGAGAAUUAUCCUGCCCCAGUAGCAUCAGAAAGAUUAGCAAAGAUUUAGCAAAAUGUCUGCAUUUCAUAUCUUGCCUUUAGGGAGGAUUGACCUUAUUAAGAAAAAAAAAAAAACUUAAAAAGUCCUUCUGGAGUUUACAUUCUUUACCAAUACUAACAUGGAGUCCAAAUUCAAACUAAUGGCAAGCCAGUUCCUUUCCAGCUUCCUGUACUUGUGGCAAAAGUUUGCCUCCUGUCAUCUGUAAACACAAAUGAUUCAAGAAUACUGAGGGUACCUUUCUUUAAGGCUUCAUAUGGCUCUGGGAGAGUCACGUGGGCUUGGUUGGCAAUAGGACUUCUGCUGGGAAAGAGAAUGUAUUAUGGAGAUGGUUUCGCAGAAGGUUGGAUGAGAUGGCUUCCCAGAAAUCUAGGGGCCUGCAUCCUGUUCUCUCCAGCUUCUGUCCUUUGGCCCCUGUUCUUUCAUCCAGCUGUGCACAGGUGGGCACCCUCUGUCAAGGCCAAUUCAAGUUUCACCUUCUCCAAGGAGCUUUAUCUGAUUGUGCCAAUCAAAAUUUUUUCUCCUUCUGAGUUACUUACACUUCUCAAUGUGAUCAAGGUCAAUGUGCAUUUUAUGGGGUCCUCAGUAAGAGAUGAAUUCUUCAAGGGCAAGAAACAUAUAUCCAUUUUAUUCCCAUUAUACCCCUAUGCUUCAGCCUCCCCAUAGGUAGUGCAUAAUAGAUACAAAAUAAAUACUGAGGCUUAUUUAACUAAAGAAGAUUAUGCUUGUAAUACUUUUAGAAGGUAAAAUAUGUUAAUAAAUUAAAGAGUUUACUGGGCACAGAGAUGUGAGAGAGGGACAAAGGGGAAGCACAUUUUCAUUUUUCUGACCUUAUAUCUUUAUUCAAUAGCAAAUAUAAAAUGAAAGAAGUUGGUUUUUAUAUUUCCCAUGCCAAAAUCCACACAGUUUUAUAACAGUACUGUUUGCAGUCUAUGUGGACCAUAAGGUGCUAAAACUGUAAGCUUUUUAAAGAAAAUUAGUCCUGAUUUGAAGAUAUUUUUAAAAUCCUCCAGUCACAAAAGUACAAAACAUACCCUGUCUACUUUCUAGUCCCCACCUUCACCUACUGGAUCAGAAAACAAAACAAACAAUCACAGGAAAUAUUCUCAACUCUUUCCUGCCCCAGACACAAAUUUGUAAGAAAGCAAUUACCAUGAGGAGAACGAUUGGUUUGCUACCUGACUGCUCUAAAAUAAUCUUGGAAAUCCUUUGGUCCCAGAUUUAAAAUUCUUUACUUCAGACCUUCUCUAACAGCAUAUCUAAGCCAUGUCUAAGAUCUUACAAGGAAAACUCUUCAAAGACAAAGUAAUAACCUUGAAGAAAAGAAAGGAUAGCAUAAAUUCCUCCUCGUUCUUACAGGUGUUUGCUAUCUUCCCCACCACAUUUCCUGCUGCAACUAUUUGCCCAAACACAACAGAUCAAAACUAGGCAGCUGCCAUAGGAAUGAAAACUAACGAAUCUAAGACAUCUGGAUUAACGGCAGGACAACAUGUUGGCCCUGAGGGGAUAAAAUCACCUGCUGUUUUGGGGGCCCCAGAAAGGGCCUCCAGGCCAUGAUUUGAAAGAGGGCAACAGCAGGUAAAGGAGCACAGGAGGAAGUUCAGUCUGAGAAUUAAAACAAUGAUGUAUUUCAUGAAAAGAAGGAAACUCUAGACAAUAUAGUGCUUGGGUCAUAUAUUAUCUUAGACUAGGUCUGCAUAAAAAGGAUCCCAUCUGCUAUGGAAUGAAGUCCAUUCUGGUGCCAGUUAACAUUUGCACAACACAUGACGUGGAAUAGUCUCUGGAGCCAAGAUUGGUUCUGUAUCCACCCAGGGGCAGGUUGGUCGCUCUCCAGUGUAAACCUCCUUGGGAUUAACCACUUAUUCCAGUGUUGUGCACUGCAUAAUUAAUACCAGAUCAGUUCCAGACAGCUUUGUACAUCCUGCAUAUGGAUGAAGACCCAAAAAAUUUUUUUGGUGAUCUGUUUGGAUGAGAUAGAGAAAGGUGUUGUUCUAAUGUUUGAAGCAGAAGUCAUCCCCAUGUACAGGGGUUUACCUUGCACAGAUGGGGGCUCGUGGGUGGCAUGUGACAUUUACCAGGAAGGAGCUUGUCUGGACAAGUAAGAGGGGUGAUAAGUGUGCAUGUGUGGAUACAGAAGUAACAUCUGAGGCAUUAAUGCUUGAAGAGCAGGGCUAUGCACCUUCUUUUAGCAAUCUGGAGAGGAUUGAGGCAAGAGCUUGUGUUUCAGCAAGGUUUUGGAUAUGGAAGAAUGCCCACUGUUGGGGUGGAAUGACCAGAGUUAUAAGAUUAGAGUUUCUGUGGAUUUUUCCCAUGUAAUAGAAAUUUUUUUUUCUUCUAGUUUCGUUCAUAGCAGGCAGCAUUGGACCAAUAGUUUGCCUAAGCCUAUUUCUUCUCUAUAUUAUUUCUGAAACCCUUUUCUUUUUUUCUUUCUUUUUUUUUUUUAAUUUUAACGUUUAUUUAUUUUUGAGACAGAGACAGACAGAGCAUGAACAGGGGAGGGGCAGAGACAGAGGGAGGCACAGAAUCUGAAACAGGCUCCAGGCUCUGAGCUGUCAGCACAGAGCCCGACGCGGGGCUCGAACUCACGGACCGCGAGAUCAUGACCUGAGCCGAAGUCGGAUGCUUAACCGACCGAGCCACCCAGGCGCCCCUGAAACCCUUUUCUUAAACACUAAAGUAAAUAACAAGAAAAAACAAGAAACCUUUUCAAAAAACUUCAUAUUUCUGUCAUUUCUCUUUAUUGUGUGUGCAGCUCCAAAGCUGCUUUUCCUCAUCUUUAAUUUUUUUUCCUAUGUCAGCUUACCAAUCUUCAUGGGUUUGACUUGGCUGCCCCACUAGUCCAGUUGUCUUUUUGAUAAAUUAACAUGGACAGCAACUUAAGGUUCCAUGGAAAUCUUAAACAUGAUAUUUCUUAUACUUGACUCACAGUCGAUAUUCUAGGAGGAAGAUUGCCCUACUGUCCCCUCCUGUGAAAUCAGAAUAACCACCAAUCCUGAAAUUAAACAUUUUGAUAAAUUCUUUCCAUGUCCCAAGCUGUUCGUACAAUGUUAUGGACUAAAUGUUUGUGUCUUCCCAAAAUUCAUAUGUUGAAGCCCUAGUCCCCAAUGUGAUGGUAUUAGGAGGUGGAGCCUUUGGGAAGUAAUUAGAUUUAGAUCAGGUAAUGAGGGUGGUGCCCCAUGAUGGGAUUAGUGCCCUUACAUGAAGAAAAGACAACACAGUUUUCUCUUUCCUCAUGCACAUGAAGAACAGGUCAUGUGAGCACAUAGUGAGAAGAUGGGACACCUGCAAACCAAGAGCAGAGGCUUUAGAAGGAAACCCACCUGUGGGCACCUUGAUCUUGGACUUCCAGCCUCCAG